GAUGAACGCUGGCGGCGUGCUUAACACAUGCAAGUCGAACGAAGCACUUUUGAUUCUUCGGAAGAGGAAGUGACUGAGUGGCGGACGGGUGAGUAACGCGUGGGUAACCUGCCUUAUACAGGGGGAUAACAGUUAGAAAUAACUGCUAAUACCGCAUAAGCCGAUAGAGUCGCAUGACUUAGUCGGAAAAGAUUUAUCGGUAUAAGAUGGACCCGCGUCUGAUUAGCUAGUUGGUGAGGUAAUGGCCCACCAAGGCGACGAUCGGUAGCCGGCUUGAGAGAGUGAACGGCCACAUUGGGACUGAGACACGGCCCAAACUCCUACGGGAGGCAGCAGUGGGGAAUAUUGCACAAUGGGGGAAACCCUGAUGCAGCAACGCCGCGUGAAGGAAGAAGUAUUUCGGUAUGUAAACUUCUAUCAGCAGGGAAGAAAAUGACGGUACCUGACUAAGAAGCCCCGGCUAACUACGUGCCAGCCGCCGCGGUAA
rnacentral:rRNA from 1 species